CUUGACAGCAAAUAGAAAUGUCCGACCAGCAGGUCUGUGACAGGAACAACAAGACUCCUUCUAAACAAGAUCAUCCACCACACCCUCUACAGCAGGACGGAUGUUCUUCAUCAUCCUCUCCCUCCUCUUCCACUCAGUAAAAUCUGACAGAGGGAGCGGGUUCGUCCUGCGCCCGGCUGCAGGCGGCCCUCUCGAUGGUCUCUCCUACCAUGAAAGCGGUGGUGGAUGCUGUGUGGGCGGUGUGGAGCAUCGGGGCCUCCAUCUAUGACUACAUCCACACCAACGCCAUGGAGGAGCGCAUCCACGCCCUGGAAAACGUCAUCACCAUCCACCAGUGUGUGAUCGGGCUGCUGUCUGCCGGCGUGCUGACGCUCUUCACUUACAUCCUCUUAAAGAAGCUCUGAGGAGGUGUGAAGGGGCCUGCUGGGGCUGACGUGUGAGAGGUGGAAUGACCAGAAUCAGACACUGACAUUGAAUGUGGUAAAACAAACACUGAUCAGACAGAUAAAGGGGAAAUUUACACUUUGGGUACUUAAGACUCGCUCAUAAGAACUGGAAGGUACGUGCAGUUUUCAAGGGAGCAGACACAUAACAUUAAGUUAAAGUUCUUUUAAAAAGCUACUUUUUUAAAAACCUCAUUGCAGUGCCACAUGUUGCAUGAAUCUGUUUUGGGGAAAAACACUGAUGUUGAUGUUGUCUGUGUAGCAGGUUGUGGAGGAGGUGAGCAUGUGGGGCUACAGGGUCCAGCUGCUUUUUAAAGGCCAGUCUAAAAAGUAACAUUGACAGAUUUUAUGCUCCAGUAUUCAGGAUCUUUACAGUUUCAUUUAAAAUUUUAAUUUAAUACCUCAUUUGAAUGGCUUAGGCACAAAAAAUGAUUCAUUGUUCCCCCCUGAAGAUUAAGUUAUAACCUUUUUUAGCAUAAAAUAAACCAUUUACAUCAUCAUCAUCAUCACAGGACAUUGUGACUCAGCAGUUCAGUGCAGGUUUUACAGACUGGAUUAAAUUUAAAUUAUUAAAGGACUUAAAUAUGUAAAUAUAUAAAAACGUACCUAGUGCCAGCAGUAACAGAGAAAAUAAGAAACCACUCCAGAUUUGUCUUAAAUAAGCAUCUCUACAUCUAUGACAGACAUUUCACUCCAAAAUGUCCGUAGUUUAAAGAAUAGGGAGAAACAAAAUUUGACACAUAACUGCAACAUUUUGAAUAGUUGAAGCAGCUCAAAAUAACAGUAAACCAGUAAAUAUACCAACAUUAUUAGUUGCCCCUACUCAAACUAUCAUAACUCUGUGUGUGUGUGUGUGUGUGUGUGUGUGUGUGUGUGUGUGUGUGUGUGUGUGUGUGUGUGUGUGUGUGUGUGUGUGUGUGUGUGUGUGUGUGUGUGUGUGUGUGUGUGUGUGUGUGUGUGUGUGUGUGUGUGUGUGUGUGUGUGUGUGUGUGUGUGUCCCCACAGUUCCAUUGACUUAAUUCGCUAACUUACAAAAGGCUUCUUUUUUUCUUUUUGUUUUCAUGUUUGCAAUAAUUUCUCUUGAAGCCUAAGUUUAAAAGAUACAGGAGACGAUAAUUCCAUUGAAACUAGAGUCUGGAGAGAGCAGAUGUUUCUCACAUUCCCCAAAUUUAGCAAUUGAUGAAUCCUUUUAAACACCUUGUCUGUUACUAUAAGUAUAUUUGGUUUUGUCUUGGGAGUGUUUGAUAAGACACCUCAUAUAAUCCCUUAUGAUUCAAUAUGAUUGGUUUACUUGUGCAUCAUCUUCAUUUUCAGUGCAACAUUAGGAUUAAAAUAUACAGUAAAUUUCUGUUAAUCCCCAUUGCUGUUGGUGCGAGUGCAGUAUAAAAUUAAAUAUGAAGUGUCCUUAAAAACUGUAAAUAUAUUUAAAUGUUCACAAGCAGUUUUUCAGCUUUCAUACAUGUGCAAUUACCAUGUAGUACUACUGCUGCUUAAUAUUUUAUAAGGCAAAAUUUUGUACCAUGUAUCAACAUGUUUAAAUAAGAUAAUAGGUAUCGACUGCGAACACUGGAUCAAUGUGUCUUUCUGAAAUGACACAUUGAUCAAAGUUUCUUUUACAGGAUAAAGGAUGUUUUUGUAAUUUUAACUUUAAUCAGCUUCUCUAACCUGCUGAGUGAUGAGUCAUUGGAAUCUGCAACCAUUACGAGUCCUGGCAUUAGAGAAAUCAGUGUGUGUAUUUUUGUGUAAAUGUGUUACUGUCCCAGAAGGAACACAACAAGAGAACGUGCAAAGGAUGAAACAGUUUUAUUUUCAUUUUAACAGUCUUCUCAAAAUGUCAAAUAAAUGUGGAAUUCAAUGCAAUUAAACUGCACCUCUCUUACAACAGUUCAAGUUUCCAACACAGUGUUGUGUACAAAAAUGAAAAGCUAAAGUAUAUAACACUUCUGAUUGAAGUUGUGACCAUGAGAAGCUUUUCUAUCACAUGUCUGAACAUUUCUUCAAACAAUCUGCUAAAACCACUGAAGAAGAAUCGACUGCAAACUUCAGAAACUGCGCCACUGGGUUGGAAAUCAUAAGCGGACAUGACACCAGUCGUCCACGGAGAAGAAAAGAAGAGCAACCCCCGUCUGAAAAUAGGUGCUGCUUCUUCAGCUCACAAACUUCUACACAUGAGUAGUUGGAAUCUGAACUCGAAGGCCUUAAUCUGGAAUAAAUGGACCUUAACAUAUGUGGUUACAAGUGUCCAGUCUGCAGGAGAGUGUGUUUGGAAGUGAAUCUCUCCACACUUUCGCCCUCCAGGAACUUCAUGGCUCUCCAGUGGAUCUUGCCGCAGUUCUCUGGCUGCCCGCCGGGUCCCAGCUCCACCUGGAUGUACUGCAGCCACAGGUCUUGAAUGAAGAAAACAGAAACAGAAAAAGAUUUGAGCUGACAAUGCACAAGGACGCUCUGAUUCAAUAUUAAUGCUUAACAAAAGGCUCUUCAACUUGCCAUAUUCCAACUUCCCCUUGGCCUACAUACCAGACUGAAAGUUUGUGUUUGUCUCUGUUAAAGAACAACUUGAGUAUUUGUCAUUGAGACGUAUUCAUAUCCUGAAAUCAUCAGAACUUUUUUUUUUUUUUUUAGUUUUGUUAUAAAUGGAAAGUUUGUCCUACAUACUUGAAUAACAAGAUAUUGUGAAUAAAUUUGUUUUGACUAACUCUA